rnacentral:rRNA from 1 species
GCAAGUCGAGGGGUAACAGAGUAGCUUGCUACUGCUGACGACCGGCGCACGGGUGCGUAACGCGUAUAGAACCUACCUUAUAGUAAGGGAUAGCCCAGAGAAAUUUGGAUUAAUACCUUAUAGUAUCUUAAGUGAGCAUUCACUAAGGAUUAAAGAUUUAUUGCUAUAAGAUGGCUAUGCGUUCUAUUAGUUAGUUGGUGUGGUAACGGCACACCAAGACAUCGAUAGAUAGGGGUCCUGAGAGGGAGAUC